GACGAACCGUACGAACGUUAUUCGGAAUCACUGGGCUUAAAGGGUGCGUAGGCGGCGCGGAAAGUUGGGUGUGAAAUCCCUCGGCUCAACCGAGGAACUGCGCCCAAAACUACCGUGCUUGAGGGAGAUAGAGGUGAGCGGAACUUAGGGUGGAGCGGUGAAAUGCGUUGAUAUCCUAAGGAACACCGGUGGCGAAAGCGGCUCACUGGAUCUCUUCUGACGCUGAGGCACGAAAGCUAGGGUAGCGAACGGG
rnacentral:rRNA from 1 species